rnacentral:lncRNA from 1 species
UGGAUUCAGGAUUUGAUGCUUGAACUGAACCUUCUUUUAAGAGAAGUAAUACAUCCUCAAAGUAAGAACAACAACAAAAAACUUAGACGAAGAAAAAGCAAAGAGAAGAAAAUAAAAAUCACCACCCAGAGACAGCGCUGUUAAUGGUUUGGGUCCUUCAUUCAUUCAACAAAUACUUGGCAAUUACCAUGCAGUAAAUAUGGUGCUCAUUGCUGGGAAGUAGAGAUUGACAAGAUACAAUCCAUGACCUCAAGGGUUGCAUAGGAUCAUGAGCAAAGCAGAUUCUUCAAGGGACCAGUUCACAGCAAACACCCUUCAGGCAGGUAUUAUCAAGCUCCGUCUGUGAAGGCGAGGCGGAAGAGGCCACACUAGCGAGAAAGUGAUUAUGAGAAACAUGCAGAAAACAAGAGCACAUCCUCAUAGUCACAUAGAAAAUGAGAAUGAGAAGGAGGUGGCGCACCGGCUACAAGGCUAGACCGGGGGCUCGCAUAUCUCCACUUGCAGCUGCCACUGCCAUUAGAAGAACUUGCUCAGCCAGCUCCUGGGCCCCAGGAAAAGGACAAGUGUCACCCAGAACAGAGCCACCUCCAGCUGCACUCAGCUCCAGAAGCUGGCCCAGCCGGUCCAGUACACCUUUUAAAUAAUGUCCUCUACGUGCCGGUGUGGAAGUAGCCCGGAUGCAAUUGAAUGAACAACAGACGGUGCUUUCCAGGACGGCGCUGUGCUUUCCAGGAUGGUGCUGUGCUUUCAUUCAUUUGGGUAGCUCCUCUGUGAGCCUCCCAGCGCCGACUGCAGAGCCCCCACUCUCCAGCCUGCAAGACCCCGAAAUUCAAGCCACACAAAGAAAGGAGGAGGGGGCCGUUGGCAUUUACUGAACCUUAUAAAACUGUCAGCAAAACAGCCCUUAGGCUUGGACUCCCUGCUAGCCGGGUUUUACGGUGCUGAAGUCAGCAUCUUGAUUCAGCUGCAUAAAUAAUCUCCUGCAGUCCUGCAAGGCCUGGGGUAGGAGAGGGUAUGGGGACCAGGGCACUCUGUAAGGGCUGGGAUAGGAACCCCAGGGAAUAAGACAGACCAACUGCGGGACUUCAGACUCCACUGCAGCCGGGAUCGGGUUGUUGUUAAUUUCUUAAGCAAUUUCUAAAUUCUGUAUUGACUCUCUCAUGCAUGUAACUGAUCCUUAGAUAUUGUCAGCCAAAUGACUAAAGGAUUUAGAAAUCUGAUUGACUUUUGGAAAUCUGAUUGA